UACGAAGGGGGCUAGCGUUGCUCGGAAUUACUGGGCGUAAAGGGCGCGUAGGCGGGUUGCUAAGUUAGAGGUGAAAGCCCAGGGCUCAACCCUGGAAUUGCCUUUAAUACUGGCAGCCUUGAGUAUGGCAGAGGUGUGUGGAACUCCGAGUGUAGAGGUGAAAUUCGUAGAUAUUCGGAAGAACACCAGUGGCGAGGGCGACACACUGGGCCAUUACUGACGCUGGGGCGCGAAAGCGUGGGGAGCAAACAGG
rnacentral:rRNA from 1 species